GACAGAGGUUGCAAACGUUGUUCGGAAUUACUGGGCAUAAAGCGCACGUAGGCGGUUCGUUAAGUCAUGUGUGAAAUCCCUCGGCUCAACCGAGGAAUUGCGCCUGAUACUGGCGGGCUAGAGAUCGAUAGGGGUGAGUGGAACUCCAGGUGGAGCGGUGAAAUGCGUAGAUAUCUGGAGGAACACCGGUGGCGAAGGCGGCGUUCUGGACUGUUACUGACACUGAGGAACGAAAGCCAGGGGAGCAAACGGG
rnacentral:rRNA from 1 species